AUGAUCCCAUGGCUGAAUUGGGUGCCCUUAUUAGUGCUACUUCAAGAAUAUUUCAUUGAACCACUUUUGCUUUUAGGAGUCCAAUCUCAAGUCCAGCUGCUGGAGUCUGGAGGGGAUGUGAGAAGACCUGGAGAGUCCCUCCGUCUCUCCUGCCAAGCCUCCGGAUUCACCUUCAGCAGCUCUGACAUGAGCUGGAUGAGACAGGCUCCAGGGAAAGGACUGGAAUGGGUAGCAGGCAUAAGUAGAGGAUCAUCUUAUACUUUCUACUCUGACAAAGUCAAGGGACGCUUCACCAUCUCCAGGGAUGAUUCUCUCAGCCAGCUGUAUCUGCAAAUGAACAGCCUCAAAUGGGAGGAUUCUGCUGUUUAUUACUGUACGAGAAACACACAGUGA